rnacentral:rRNA from 1 species
GACGAACGCUGGCGGCGUGCUUAACACAUGCAAGUCGAACGGAAAGGCCCUGCUUGCCGGGUACUCGAGUGGCGAACGGGUGAGUAACACGUGGGUGAUCUGCCCUGCACUUCGGGAUAAGCUUGGGAAACUGGGUCUAAUACCGGAUAGGAACCAUCUUUAGUGUGGUGGUUGGAAAGUUUUUUCGGUGUAGGAUGAGCUCGCGGCCUAUCAGCUUGUUGGUGGGGUAAUGGCCUACCAAGGCGGCGACGGGUAGCCGGCCUGAGAGGGUGUACGGCCACAGUGGGACUGAGAUACGGCCCAGACUCCUACGGGAGGCAGCAGUGGGGAAUAUUGCACAAUGGGCGCAAGCCUGAUGCAGCGACGCCGCGGGGGGGAUGAAGGCCUUCGGGUUGGAAACUCCUUUCGCUAGGGACGAAGCUUUUUGUGACGGUACCUAGAGAAGAAGCACCGGCUAACUACGUG